UGCAGAGAACAUUUUAUAGAGCACCCUUUCUCUUGAGUCUCCAUUUUCUGCAAUCAGGAUAAUGCAGUGCCUUUCAGAGCCAUUUUCAUUUUUGAAGUGCUCUUUCAUCAUUAGCUAAUAAAUACUCAUCAAUGAAUUUUCCUCAGCGUCUUGGAAGUUGGAGGAAAAAGAAAAUUGCUUUCUGUUUCUAGAGAUGCUGGUGUUUCACAUCCCGUUGGACUCAUCUCUCCAGGAUGGUAGCGCUCCAGGAAAAAUUCCCUACUGAAGGGGAACCAAGAGCCUGGAGGAUCCCUUCGAAAGAAACUGCAUCAUCAACUAAAGUAACAAAAAAGCUUGAAGACUUUCAUGGAUCCUAGGCCCUGGAUGGAGGCAGGCGGCUUCAGACAGCAUCAGACAGAGAAGCAAGAAAGCCGAGGGGCAGCUGGAAGGUGCCUGUGGCUGCCGAGCCCAGUUUUCCAGAGCUCUUGCCAUCACCUGGGAAGGAACCCCUGCCUUGUCUCCCACGGACACCACCAAGGCCAACUCGGAGCUGCCCAUUACAAGAGAGAAUGACUCUACUGCUUCUUCAUGUUGCUGUGAGGGUAGCCCUGAAAAUCAUGGAACGAGGCAUUAGAGAUUUGUCACUCACUCUUAUUCAGUGAUGAACCCAGAGUCCAUGGAAGUAAAGGCUUCUCACUCCCAGGCAUGGGGUCAAAGCCAUGGCCAGUUGGUAGUUUUCUUUCUCCACCCAUUAUUCAAUUUACCUUGUCUUUCUAAAAGUUAUGUAAGGAAAGAGAACAUGGCUCCUUUUUGGAACACUAGACCUAUGAGAUAGUAGUACAAGUUCCACAAAAUAACAGGGUAUUCUAAGGUCAAACAAGUUUGAGAAAUUCUGAGUAUGUCCCCAGUAGAGAUACAAAAUGUACAUGCACAUGUCUAAGGCUGCAAAAAAUUGAACUCAGCUUUCCCAAAGUUAUUUGACUCUAGAACUCUUUUAUUUAGUAAUAUUCAUUAGCAUCUUGAGUGCCUCUUUUUCUUCUUUAGUACAGUUUGGAAAAUGCUAUUUUCAGAGAAGCUUCAGUAAAUCUUCCUAGUAAAGGCUGAAGUCUAUGUCUUAGAUUGAAGAAAAGUUGAACAUAGCUUAGAUACAACCUUGUAAAUAGGGAAUACUUGUCUACCAUCCGCAAGAUUCUUUUCAACAGCCCAUUCUUUAUUAAAUUGGAGGUUUGCAAGGAGGGGAACUGAAAUAAGCAAUUGGCGUUCUAGUUCGUUCAUCCAGUAAAGCUCUAUUUUCAAGAUUAAUUCAGAGAAAAAGAUUUUCUACUUUUUCAUUCGACUGGAUAGAUCUCAUGGAAAAUCCCUUGUAAAUGUUGAAAUUGAUGCCCUUCCCUCCCCUCUGCCCUUUUGCCUUUCUUUGUAGAGAAUAAGUCUGGGUUUGAUUUAUAAGUAUUAUGGUUUGUAUUUGAUGGAACCCUCUGGAAACCUAUUCGCCAAGGGAAAGAGUAAUAACUAGUAGUUUUAGCUGUAAUCACAGAAAAAUCCUUUCCUCUCCUUCAGUCUUUCCAUCGCUCUGUGAUCAUAAGGCAUACCUUUAAUGAAACCUUUCUAAUGAGUGCUAAGGUUGUGUUCUCUUUCCAUAGGUUCUCCAAAGUAUGUUUUCUUCCUACUGACAAAAUAGUCAGGAAGAUAGUGGAAAUGGGAUCAACUCCAUUCUUCAUAUGCUUUAUUUUAUUCCUCUUCUCAGCGUUCAUUGAUGAACUUUCUUCUCCAGUCACUGGUUUCCCCUGCAUUGCUUCAGAAUUUAUUCAUUUCAUAGGAUGUCAUAUUACCUGUGGUGACACAAUGCUUUGCAACUGACCUCAAUCCAUUCAUAUAUGUAUUUUAUCUGCCAACUAGAACUUAAAGUUUAUUGGAGGUAGGUACAAUAUAUUUACAUCUUUCACAUUAUCUUCAGAGUCUCAUUCGUAUAUAGUGCUCUGUACAGAGUAGACAUUCAUUUAUUUGAAUUGAUUUAAGAAUAAUUUCCAUGGGUUGAAUGUGAGUGAGGAUUGCAGCUCCUCUUUGGGGCUUGAUAUCUCUGUGUCUAGAACAUAAAUGUUGGAGUCCACCUGACCUGAGUUCAAAUGCCAGGCCAAAGAAACAUUAAUGUGUGCUCUUGAUCAGGUUACUUCCCUGAGCUUCCAUUUCCUAUACAUAAUGGAGAUAGUAUAUAUACCUUUUUUAAAGCACGACUGAGGAUAGUAGUUAAUAGUUUAAGUUCUGGUGUCAGACAGAUCUGAGUUUGAAUCUCAUCUCUGCAUCUUACUUGCUACAUGAUCCUGAGCAAGUUAGUGAACCUCUCUGAGCCUCAUUUCCCUCCUCCUAGAACUGGGGUCCAUCAUAGUAUUUAUCUCAUGGAGUAGUUUGAGUUAAAUAAAAUAAUGCCUGUAAAACUUAGAAUGAUACCUCAUACCUAGUAAGAAUUCAGUUGAUGUCAACCAUUACUAUAGAAGAGCCCCUAGCAUACCUGGCACUGGUGGGCUCAAAUAAACUUUAGUUCCUUCUCCUGCUAAUUCUCAUCUUUAAAAUAGUUGCCACCAGCAGACACACUUUUUAGACCCGUUGGCUAAUGGGACUUCGGCAUAACUUUUGUGUACGAGUGGUUCUCUGACUCUUUUACCUGUCUUAAAUGGCACCAAAGUCUUCUGAAGAAAAGGCUUUUAUGCGGGGGAGGUCAUGAACAUCUGGAUUAAAAAGAGUUUACAUUCUUAAAGUGAGGUGGGUUGGAGAUAUUUUUUAUUAAACAUAGCCAUUUUGUGAUUUGAUUUCCCCAGGAUAUGAAUCAGAGAGAAAAAACUGAAGUUUUGUCCCAGAAAAAAAAGGGGAGGACAGGCAGAGGAUUUUUCACUGGUAAGGCAAUUUACACACUUGUCCUUUUCAUAGUGACUCAUGGUCUGUGAUACAUUUCAUAGCGAUGUCUAUGAGUUUCCAAAUCUGGAAGAAGACAUAUCAGCCAAAUAAGGGAGAGUGAAGAAAACAGACUUUUAAUCCACCUAGUUACCAUUCACAGAGCUUUAGAAGUAGAACUCCAAAAAAUGGCUCUUCCAGCACCCCACGUUUAGUCACAUCUUUAAACCCAUUGAGAGAGAGAAUUAGCUAAUCACUUCCAAAAUAUCUUCAGCAGACCAGCAGAGGAAUUCAAUCUCUAGCUCCAGUGUUCUAGAAAAAGUUCUUUCUUCCCAAUCUCUUCUCUUCCCCAACCCUCCCCCUUUCUUUUUUUUGGCUAUAAUUUGAGGCUAAGUCUUCACUCUUUUUUAGCUUUCAUAAUGUCUGACCUAAGUCCAUCUUAAAAUGAGUUUGUAAACUUUUAAAAAACUUAUUAAAGCUUACCCAUUAGUCUUUUUAUUUUACUAUUUAAGCAGUCUCAACUCAUUUAAAAAACUGUCUUAAGUCCAAUUUUUUCCCUACUUUAUAUAAUUUUGGGUUACUAUUC